ACAUGCGGCCAUACCCACUGGAGAACUCGGGAUCCCGUCCGCUCUCCCAUAGAUAAGCCAGUGAGGGCUGGAUUAGUAGUUGGGUCGGUGACGACCAGCGAAUACCCGGUGUUGCAUGUU
rfam:Colletotrichum chlorophyti strain NTL11 CCHL11_scaffold36, whole genome shotgun sequence.